rnacentral:rRNA from 1 species
ACACCAGCACCUCAAGUGGUCAGGAUGAUUAUUGGGCCUAAAGCAUCCGUAGCCGGCUCUGUAAGUUUUCGGUUAAAUCUGUACGCUCAACGUACAGGCUGUCGGGAAUACUGCAGAGCUAGGGAGUGGGAGAGGUAGACGGUACUCGGUAGGAAGGGGUAAAAUCCUUUGAUCUAUUGAGGACCACCUGUGGCGAAGGCGGUCUACCAGAACACGGUCGACGGUGAGGGAUGAAAGCUGGGGGAGCAAACCGGAUUAGAAACCCCAGUAGUCC